CUCUGAAAUCAAUAAAAAUAAAAUCAAACCAGGGCAGUGAAUUCUGAAUGGUGUGGCUACAGAGUUCAGUCCCUGCUCAGAGCCUUCCACAGGUGCGGGAUCUUUAAAACCACCUGGGCAACCAGGACAUGGAAGGAGUGGAGAGAAGCCAGCACGCUGGUCUGCCCGCAGAUUUCCGACUUGCCAACUCCCACAAUCACAGAACAAUUCUUAAAAUAAACCUCUCUUUACAGGUGCAUAUAUACAAUAUCCUCCUGAUUGUUUCUCUGGAGAACUCUAAUAUUGGGGCCAUUCAACAGUGCUGGGGCAGUGAGAAAGCAGCCAUAGACACCAAGUGAACAAAUGAUGUGGCUGUGCGCCAAUAAAACUUUAUUCAUAAAAAUAGGCAGCAGGCUGGAUUAGGCUCCGGUAAUGUGCUGACCUCCUGUCUCCUGACAAAUAAGCACAGUAUCUGGCAUGGAAAAGGCACACUGAGUUAUGUCAUUUUUUAAAUUCUGUAGAACA